UACGGAGGAUGCAAGCGUUAUCCGGAAUGAUUGGGCGUAAAGCGUCCGCAGGUGGCUGUGUAAGUCUGCUGUCAAAGAGCAAAGCUCAACUUUGUAAAGGCAGUGGAAACUACACGGCUAGAGUGCGUUCGGGGCAGAGGGAAUUCCAGGUGUAGCGGUGAAAUGCGUAGAUAUCUGGAGGAACACCGGUGGCGAAGGCGGCAUCCUGGACCGGUAUUGACGCUGAGGCGCGAAAGCUAGGGGAGCAAACGGG
rnacentral:rRNA from 1 species